GACGAACGCUGGCGGCGUGCUUAACACAUGCAAGUCGAACGCUGAAGCUCAGCUUUUGUUGGGUGGAUGAGUGGCGAACGGGUGAGUAACACGUGAGUAACCUGCCCCCUUCUUUGGGAUAACGCCCGGAAACGGGUGCUAAUACUGGAUAUUCACUGGUCUUCGCAUGGGGGUUGGUGGAAAGGGUUUUUCUGGUGGGGGAUGGGCUCGCGGCCUAUCAGCUUGUUGGUGGGGUGAUGGCCUACCAAGGCUUUGACGGGUAGCCGGCCUGAGAGGGUGACCGGUCACAUUGGGACUGAGAUACGGCCCAGACUCCUACGGGAGGCGGCAGUGGGGAAUAUUGCACAAUGGGCGCAAGCCUGAUGCAGCGACGCCGCGUGAGGGAUGGAGGCCUUCGGGCUGUGAACCUCUUUCGCUCAUGGUCAAGCCGCAACAAUGGUUGUGGUGAGGGUAGUGGGUAAAGAAGCGCCGGCUAACUACGUG
rnacentral:rRNA from 1 species